rnacentral:misc_RNA from 1 species
UGCAUUGUAACUGAAAACCAUCAAGUAUAGAAGUUAUGGAAGUUGCUGUCAUUUCAGUGGAAAGCAUUAAACCUUCUUCACCUGUUCAUCAUCUGAAACCUUUCAAGCUUUGCCUUCUAGAUCAGCUUACUCCCACAUCCUACUCCCCACUCAUUCUCUUCUACCCCACAAACGAUGCUCAUUUGAAAAGCACCCAAAUCUUAACUCAGCUAAAAUGGACACUGUCAAAGACUCUAACUCCCUUCUACCCUCUCUCUGGAAGGGUGAAGGACAAUUUCGUUAUCCAUAACUACGAAGAGGGUGUUCCUUUUAUCGAAGCUCGAGUAAAGGGUCAUUUAUCUGAUUUCCUUCAACACCCUCAAAUGGAGUUACUUAACCAAUUCCUUCCAUGCCAACCCUUUUGCCAACAACCAAAUCCAACGGUGGCACAAGCAGCUGUGCAAGUGAACAUGUUUGAUUGUGGUGGAUUUGCGCUUGGCAUGUGCUUCUCACACAAGAUCAAUGAUGGAAUUACCGGGAGUUCCUUCAUUAAAAGCUGGGCAGCCAAUGCAAGAGGCUCCGCUAAUGAAGCUAUACGUCCUAAUUUAUCUGAUGCUUCAUCGCUCUUUCCUCCUCAAGAAUCAUUACCUUCUCACUACACAUCAUUAAUGGAAAGCCUCUGGUUUAGCAAACGAAGGUUCAGGACUAGAAGAUUCGUGUUUGACGCCAAUGCAGUAGCUACCCUGACAGCCAAAGGAAGAAGUAAACUCAUACAGAGCCCAACUCGGGUUGAAGGAUUGUGUGCUUUCAUUUGGAG